rnacentral:sRNA from 1 species
GGGUGUGAGGGUGCUCUGGCUCUGAUAUCUUUCACCCCGCUGAUUGCCAGGCUUGAUUAGACUGAUGUGGCUGACUGGGUGGGUGUCCUCUUCCUCCCUCAGCACUCCAUGUGAGACCCUGCUGAAGUUGUGGACUUGGUUGAACAGGAGGAUGACCCCCUGAUAGAGGAAGCCCUUUUCCUCAGUCCCUGAGGAACUGGGGACUUUGAGAACUCCCAAACAAAUGCACAAUGAAGACAUGAAAUAGAUGUUUGCAAUAAAGAUUCUGGAAUGGUUAUAUAUGAACAAAUAUUU